UACGGAGGGUGCAAGCGUUAUCCGGAUUCACUGGGUUUAAAGGGUGCGUAGGUGGCUUUAUAAGUCAGUGGUGAAAUGCCGCAGCUCAACUGCGGAACUGCCAUUGAUACUGUUUAGCUUGAAUCACGUCGAGGUGGAUGGAAUAUUACAUGUAGCGGUGAAAUGCUUAGAUAUGUAAUAGAACACCGAUUGCGAAGGCAGUUCACUAGGCGUGUAUUGACACUGAGGCACGAAAGCGUGGGGAUCAAACAGG
rnacentral:rRNA from 1 species